GGGUCCGUAGCUCAGUUGGGAGAGCGCUGCCUUCGCAUGGCAGAGGCCGCGAGUUCGAGUCUCGCCGGAUCCA
rnacentral:tRNA from 1 species